GACGUGAGCGACAGGCUGCUGAGCGUCUCCGAGUGCUCGCUGCCCCCGCCGCCGCCCGCGCCGCGCCCGCCCUCCUCGUCCGAGGGGUCCAUGGAGUCGUGGAGAGCUCCAGUAUGGGGGGGGGGGCAUACCUGCCGCAGGAGGGUGCAGUUGACGCUCGGGGACCGCAGGGAUGCCCAGGAGCCCUGCAGGGCAAUCUUGGGGAGGACCCCAGUGCUGGCACCCUUCUCCGGCCCCUUCUGGCUGGCCGACACCGCAGGGUGGAAGAACUCAGCAGGCAUGGUAUAUUGUUGGGGUGAGGAGUCAUAGCUCUUAAAGCCAUGAGGACACAGAUUCAAGAGCCCAGGUCCUAGCUAAGGAGGUGGAGCAAGGAGGUCCGGACAGGAUUGAAUGGGAUGGCCUCCAUCUCACACAGGAAGUUCUCUGGACCCGAGGAGACAGCUGUGUUGGACAAGGGGAAGAAGCACUCACCCAGGUCCCCCACACGCACUG